AUUUUUUUAAUAACAAAACAUUUUACUUAUAAAUCGUUUAAAAACAUUGCAUUUAUGAAAUGUAAAAUAAGAAAAAUAUGACUAACAUCGACAUGUUUGUUUAUGCUUUGAUCACCUUUCUUUUUACGUUUCUUAAUGAACUCUCUGCUUAUAAGAUAACUGAUAUCCCUUGCAAAGUUGAUAGUGAUUGUCCACCAAGGACAAUUUUGAUUCAGUGGCGGUGCCGAAAAAAUUUUUGUGUGAAAUAUUAUUCGUGAGGAAACAUUUAUUAAGUUUUGCUAGCUCAUGUCGAUUUGUAACAUCAUGUAUUAAUUUCUAGAAUAAAAUAUUAUAUCUUCUGAUAAUAAAUACUAGAUCGCAUGCCCGUGA